rnacentral:rRNA from 1 species
GACGAACGCUGGCGGCGUGCUUAACACAUGCAAGUCGAACGGAAAGGCCCUGCUUUUGUGGGGUGCUCGAGUGGCGAACGGGUGAGUAACACGUGAGUAACCUGCCCUUGACUUUGGGAUAACUUCAGGAAACUGGGGCUAAUACCGGAUAGGAGCUCCUGCUGCAUGGUGGGGGUUGGAAAGUUUCGGCGGUUGGGGAUGGACUCGCGGCUUAUCAGCUUGUUGGUGGGGUAGUGUCUUACCAAGGCUUUGACGGGUAGCCGGCCUGAGAGGGUGACCGGCCACAUUGGGACUGAGAUACGGCCCAGACUCGUACGGGAGGGAGCAGUGGGGAAUAGUGCACAAUGGGCGGAAGCCUGAUGCAGCAACGCAGCGUGCGGGAUGACGGCCUUCGGGUUGUAAACCGAUUUCGCCUGUGACGAAGCGUGAGUGACGGUAAUGGGUAAAGAAGCACCGGCUAACUACGUG